rnacentral:rRNA from 1 species
UACAGAGGCCUCGAGCGUUAAGGCGGAAUCACUGGGCUUAAAGCGCGGUGUAGGUGGCGGCCUAAGUACCUUGUGAAAUCCUGCGGCUCAACCGCAGAACUGCUUGGUAUACUGGGUCGCUUGAGACAUUCAGGGGCAACUGGAACAAGCGGUGGAGCGGUGAAAUGCGUAGAUAUCGCUUGGAACGCCAAAGGUGAAAACAGGUUGCUGGGGAUGUUCUGACACUGAGACGCGAAAGCCAGGGGAGCGAACGGG